CACAAUUCAAUCCACUCAAAACCGUGGUCACCCCUGUCACUCUAGGGAAACAAGUCUUAAAUAUCACCAGUGACCUUCUAGUUGCCAAAUCCAACACACACUUCUCUGUUUUCUUCUUACUGAGCCUCUCAGCAGUAUCUGACCCAGCUGAUUAUUCUAUCUUUUUGAAAAUACUUUACUGUAUUUGUUUCUAUGACACCAUUAACCUUAUUUUCAUUCUCUCCUGUGACAUCUCUUUUCAGGCUCCUUGUUGACCCUUCCUCUCCUCACUUCUUCAUUGAAAUUGCCCAGUGCUAAUUAUGGGUUCUGACUCGUUUCUGCAAUCACAUGACUGCAUGUGGGUCCCUUGCUUUGUGUCACUUGUAGGUUUAUGUCUUCUGAGAUUAAAUCAUCGCCAGCCCUGAUGCUUCCCUUGAGCUGUGGACUGUGUACUUAGUUGUCUUCUUGACCAUAUUGUUAAUGUUUGAAUGUCUGAUGGAUUCCCCAAAGUUAAUAUGUCCAUCAGGUAGCUUUCUCUCAAAUCUGUUUUCCCUGCCUUGUCCAUUUUGGUAAAUAACACCAUCAUUCACUCACUCUCUUGGGCCAAAAAUCUAGUUGUUACCACCCCCUUUCCCUUGUAUCCCAUAUCCGAACCAUCCAUAUUGUGUUCUAACAGUUUUAUUUUCAUUAUUCAUUGUGAAUAGAGAAUCUGUCUCUAUUGCAAUAAUCCAGGUGAGAGAUUAUGUGUUCAUACCAUUCUGGCAGACAUAUGAAAAACAGAUGGUUGGGGACAAGAAUGGAAAAUUUCCACUGCACUGAAGCCUGCCUCAAACAUCAUCACAAAGUACACUCCCUUUGGCUGACCCUGUCCUAGGUAGACUUGCCUUCUCUUGUUCUUGAUGCAUGCUAAACUCUUUCCUCACUCAAGAUCUUUGCACUUGUUGGUUCUCCUGUCUAGACAUUUUCUUGUUUGUAUAUUGGCUUAUUUCUCUUUUCUUUCUCCCUUCAACUAGGAUGUAGAUAAUGUUCACUCUCUUUCCUGUUUAGCGUGUAUUCCCAACAGCUAUAGAAGACCAGUACACAACAACGGCCUGUAAAUAUUGGUUGAUCGAAUGAAAGAAUAUAAGUAUUUAGGGCUUACAAUUUAAAUAAGAAACACAACCAAAACAACCAUGCUGUGAUAGAAAGAGCAACUGGCAGUCUCAAUGACCACUCCUGGGUCCUGACUCAGCCACUUCAGCAAACUCAAUUAAAAAACAAAACCCAAAACCCCCCUUCUCCAUGUAUUUUCCCCCUUACUCCCAAACAUGCAGCUUCUUGGGUCCAUUAAAUAAAAACAAAUGAUGGUUCAUAGAAAUAAAAAUGUAGGACAUAUAUUUCCACAUUGAAUUCAAUACUGCAAAAAAUACAUGAUUUCAAGCAAAUGUUCUCUCCUCAGUAACAGUUCCCUUUUGAUAAAAUUUUGCACCACAUGAAAUCUAUUACAAUAAAUAUCUGUUCUAGUAUCUGCCCAUUUAGCAAUAAUUCUGUUCAUGCUUGAUUCUUCUUUGAUGAACUGUUCUAGGGACCCUCCUCUCCUUCCUUCUGAGAUUUCCAGAGUUUAAACUCUGCCUCUGAAUACUUACUUGCUUGUUGUCAUGGUAGCCUUGCUAAUUUUGCUUAUAUUUUUCCCCCCAUAUUUUCCCACAACCUUUGAAAAGACCAAGCUAAAUAUGAGCCAAAGGCUAUUUCUGACUAAUGUUAUAGGCAUGAAAAUAUUUCUUUUCUUAGCCUCUUGAAAAUGUUAAAUGGUUGUCUCAGCGUCAUUGAUUGAGACUAUUUGUUUAUUCCCAGGGCUGAAAGUUAAGGCCAUUUCUAUUUUGAUAGGUCUAUUUAUUUAAAACAAACUUGAAAUCAAAGACAUCUCAUACAGCAUGCAGGGAAUGCUGUUUAACCCAAGUAAUCCCAAAGUAAAUAAUUUAUUGGAUUACUUAGUAGGUUGAGAAAUGAAGAUAGGAUUUGAGUGUAUUUGGUUUGUCAUUUUCUUUUUAAUUACUAAGUAAGUACAUGUAUUGUAUGAGUUUAGAAGAAAACAAAGUAUUAUUGAAAAGAACAUGUUAUCCUGGUGGUGACCUUAGGCAGUCCCAAGAGAGAACAGGUCUCAUCCAUACCCUUGUAGCAGGGACAGCCCUGCUGUCCAUAGUUGCAUGGUGGCAGUCACAUUUGCAUCUAACUCUUAGCUUUGCCAACAACAACAGCAAUAGCAACAACAACAAAGGCUUUGUGGCUGCACAAGAACCAUUUAAACUCUCUGGGCUCAUAGUUUAUCUAUAAAACAAGAAAAAAUUCUCUCAGGUCCCUUCCAGCUCUAAGAUUGAGCCAUUCUCUUCUAGACCAACCAAAAAUUAUUAAGGCAGUGAGGCAAGAUACAAGGCAGUUCAGCAAGAGUUGAGAGACCAUAAUGUGGACCUUUCUGCAACUCAAGACAGGGAUGGCCCCUCCCAUCCAUUUUAUAGCAAACACUGCUUCCUUUCAAGCUGAUAAAAUGUCAUUUUGUUUCAUUGUGUUUUCUUUUAUGGGGAACAUGCCACAGAUCUUAUACCAAAGUUAUUUUACUCUUGUGGAUAUAAGAAUACAAUACAGAUUUUGUUCCUUAUUCUUGCCUUUUCAAUGAGUUUUUGGAUUGCUAAUUUUUUUUUGUUGUCAAUUAAAAUUACAUCUUCACAAGCCCAGCUGUUCGUGGACCCAUGCCGGCUACAAGUCCUGCAUCCUUGGCAAGCCAAGAAACAAUGCUUAUAUAUUUAUUUACUUUUUGUGAGAAGAAUCCUGAUCAUUUGCUCAUUCUGGUAAAAAGAACGAAAUAGGGUAACCAACAGAAAAUAUUUAAGUGCACUCUAAAAGGAACUUAUUGACCCUGGCAAUAAAAAGCUGGCAAUGAGUGCUAGGAGUUGUAGACCAACAAUUGAUGACCGCUUGUUGAAGAGGAUUUAAAUAUCUGAUCGAGUCAAUAUAGAGACCUCAGAUGGAGUGCACAAAAUCACAGUUACUGGUACCAGCUGCCAGCAUAUAGUACUUCAAAUAGGAAGUGCUUUGGAAACAUGAAGCAAAUAGUUUAGGCCAAAUUAAAGGUAACAGAUUUAUAGAGCUCAUUAUAUAAAAAGCAGUACAUGAUUAAAAUAUCUUCAGAUAGGUUUAAAUGAAUUUACGGGUGAAAUGUUAUAACACAUUAAUAAAGAGAACUGUGAUCAUUAGAAAUAGAUAUCUGCUCUUAGAAACACUCCUGCUUGUAGCCUCAAAUAUUUUGAAAUUGACAACAUGCACAAAAUGUACCUUGUUGCCUCUCUCAGAGAAAGCAUAUCAGAGUAACUGGCUCAUUAAUUUGACCUAUUAUGGCAUUUCUUAUGUUCUUACGUUCCUAUGACCUCCUUGAAGGCUCAUUUGGCCUUGAAGCACCACAAGGUGAAAAAAAAAAUCUCAGAAUUAAUCGAGAAGUUACCAGAGUGCUUUUACACAGGCUUAGCAAAUUGUCAGCUUAUCCUUGAAAGAACAGCGUCCAGCAGAUUCUUUUUCCCUAUGACAGUGGCAAAGGGGCAGAGAAGGGGAUUGUGAAAUUGCUGCCAGAGACUGGGUUCCCUCCCUAAUUCUUGUCUCUCUUUCAGCCAUGCACAGAAAAACCUUGAGUUCAAAUAUUUGGAUAAUCUCAGAUGAAAGAAUACAGAUCUACUCAUUUCUUAGAGUUUCAAGGUAAAAGGCUUGAAUAACUGUACACAAUGGGCAAGUCAAGUGUCUUUCAUCACUAGUAAAAAAUUCAAAACUGACUCAGUCUAUGGUAAACAAAUCCACAUGAAGCAAUUAAGAAAGUGCAAAAUGCAUUUUUAUUUCAAAAUAUUGUAAUAAUCUUAAAGGUGUUGUAAUAAUCUCUUGAAUGCGUAUGAUCUAAUGAGAAAGUAAUUCGUUAGCUAAGUAUGAUUACUUUGAUUUAUGCCUAAGAUUUAGCAUAACAUUUUAUGGGCAAAUAGAAUGGGAAAGCAGUAAGGUGCAAAUAAAUCUGUUUUGAUUAAAAAAAAAAAAAAAAAAAAAAAGGAGUUCUUGUCGUGGCUCAGCAGUUAGCAAACCCAACUAGCAUCCAUGAGGACACGGGUUUGAUUCCUGGCCCUGCUCAAUGGGUUAAGGAUCUGGCAUUGCUGUGAGCUGUGGUGUAGGUCGAAGACGUGGCUUGGAUCCUUAGUUGCUGUGGCUAUGGCGUAGGCCUGCAGCUGUAGCUCUGAUUAGACCCUUAGCCUGGGAACCUCCAUAUGCCACAGGUACAGUCCUAAAAAG
rnacentral:lncRNA from 1 species